UUAAGGUCCGUGGGAUUUGUGGUGAUGUUCUCUCAUUCAUUUCUGAUAUUAGAGGUGCCCCAAUUAUCUGGCUCUUAUGUAUUCUUCCAGAGAUAUUAAAUACACCAUGAGAUGCAAGAAGCAUGCUUUCCCUCUCCCCUUUUCUUUUCAAAAAUGAACUGGCGAAGGAAGAGUCAACAGGAAUUUAUUUCAGAGAAGAAAUAACAGGCCUUGGAUAUGUUUUGCAAGAAGAAGUACAUAGAAGAGGUUAG
rnacentral:lncRNA from 1 species